rnacentral:rRNA from 1 species
GCCCCAGUUCGGAUUGCAGGCUGCAACUCGCCUGCAUGAAGCCGGAAUCGCUAGUAAUCGCGGGUCAGCAUACCGCGGUGAAUGUGUUCCUGAGCCUUGUACACACCGCCCGUCAAGCCACGAAAGUGGGGGGCAUCCGAAAGCGCCGCGCCAACCGCAAGGGGGUAAGCGUCUAAGAUGAACUCCGUGAUUGGGACUAAGUCGUAACAAGGUAGCCGUAGGGGAACCUGCGGCUGGAUCACCUCCUUU